rnacentral:rRNA from 1 species
GACGAACGCUGGCGGCGUGCCUAAUACAUGCAAGUAGAACGCUGAAGCUUGGUGCUUGCACCGAGCGGAUGAGUUGCGAACGGGUGAGUAACGCGUAGGUAACCUGCCUGGUAGCGGGGGAUAACUAUUGGAAACGAUAGCUAAUAACGCAUAAGAGUAGAUGUUGCAUGACAUUUGCUUAAAAGGUGCAAUUGCAUCACUACCAGAUGGACCUGCGUUGUAUUAGCUAGUUGGUGAGGUAACGGCUCACCAAGGCAACGAUACAUAGCCGACCUGAGAGGGUGAUCGGCCACACUGGGACUGAGACACGGCCCAGACUCCUACGGGAGGCAGCAGUAGGGAAUCUUCGGCAAUGGACGGAAGUCUGACCGAGCAACGCCGCGUGAGUGAAGAAGGUUGUCGGAUCGUAAAGCUCUGUUGUAAGAGAAGAACGAGUGUGAGAGUGGAAAGUUCACACUGUGACGGUAUCUUACCAGAAAGGGACGGCUAACUACGUG